UAAAAAUCUUGGUCAAGAAAUAAAUGCAAACAAUGAAAGAGUUUUAAUUUCAAGUUCUGAUUGCAGCGGA
rnacentral:sRNA from 12 species